GACGAACGCUGGCGGCGUGCCUAAUACAUGCCAGUUGAGCGAUGAAGAUUGGUGCUUGCACCAAUUUGAAGAGCAGCGAACGGGUGAGUAACGCGUGGGGAAUCUGCCUUUGAGCGGGGGACAACAUUUGGAAACGAAUGCUAAUACCGCAUAACAACUUUAAACAUAAGUUUUAAGUUUGAAAGAUGCAAUUGCAUCACUCAAAGAUGAUCCCGCGUUGUAUUAGCUAGUUGGUGAGGUAAAGGCUCACCAAGGCGAUGAUACAUAGCCGACCUGAGAGGGUGAUCGGCCACAGUGGGACUGAGACACGGCCCAAACUCCUACGGGAGGCAGCAGUAGGGAAUCUUCGGCAAUGGACGAAAGUCUGACCGAGCAACGCCGCGUGAGUGAAGAAGGUUUUCGGAUCGUAAAACUCUGUUGGUAGAGAAGAACGUUGGUGAGAGUGGAAAGCUCAUCAAGUGACGGUAACUACCCAGAAAGGGACGGCUAACUACGUG
rnacentral:rRNA from 1 species